rnacentral:rRNA from 1 species
UACAGAGGUCUCAAGCGUUGUUCGGAUUCAUUGGGCGUAAAGGGUGCGUAGGCGGCGCGGUAAGUCGGGUGUGAAAUCUUGGAGCUUAACUCCGAAACUGCAUUCGAUACUGCCGUGCUUGAGGACUGGAGAGGAGACUGGAAUUUACGGUGUAGCGGUGAAAUGCGUAGAUAUCGUAAGGAAGACCAGUGGCGAAGGCGGGUCUCUGGACAGUUCCUGACGCUGAGGCACGAAAGCCAGGGGAGCAAACGGG